AUGGCUAAUGUGCUUCGCAAAAUGGACAGUGAUGUUCCUGUAAUGGGAUUCUUCCAUGGAUUAAUGCUUGAGGCAAAGAAAGAUAAUGCUGUGAGGUUUGAUAAUGAUGAGAGUAAGUACGAAGUUUGGGACAUCAUUGAUAAAAGUUGGGAUAGCAAGCUCAAGACUCCUCUCCACUUGGCUGGCUAUUAUUUGAAUCCUCACUAUUAUUACCCAAGCAAGUCAGAGAUUGAGCAUGAUGGAUCAUUUAGAGCUGCUGUUAUUACAUGCAUCUGCAAGAUGAUUAAGGACGAAGAAACCCAAGACACUGCAAUUGAAGAACUCAACAUGUAUCAAGAUCAGCAAAGUUCUUUCGGCCAUGAGAUUGCUAUAAGGAAAAGGAGAAACAAGAAUUUUAAUCCAGGUUAG
rnacentral:rRNA from 1 species